GCGGUUUGGCCACAAAUAUUUAUUUAUAGAUAUUUUAAAAAUAUUUUAAUUUUUUUCAACUUUAAUUUCAAUUUUUUUUAUUAUAUAUAACCUUAAUUUUUUUAAUAUUACAUAAAAGAUCCUUAAAUAGUUUAGAUGAGUUUUGGAGCAAAUCGAAAAAGAAAGAUAUUUUUGAUAAACAACAAAUCAAGUUUGAACACAAUUUUAAAAAAUAUUUCUUCUCGGUAAAAGAUAUUUUUA
rnacentral:lncRNA from 1 species